rnacentral:tRNA from 1 species
GGAGAGGUGGCUGAGCGGCCGAAAGCGAUGCCGUGCUAAGGCAUUAACCUCGCAAGGGGUUCGUGGGUUCGAAUCCCACCCUCUCCG